AAAUGCAGGUGCAGCUGGACUUUUCUCUGAGCUAUAAGCAUAUCUAUUUAGUCUGCCUAAAAAAACAGAUUAUUACUUUUGCUGCAGCUAACAUAAAGGAGAUUAGUUCUUAUGCUGACUGAUGCAGGAUUCACAGAGGCAGCUUCGGCUGACUUUGUAAACUCGAUCUCAAAUCAAGUAAGACUACCCGCUGAACUUAA
rnacentral:misc_RNA from 1 species